rnacentral:tRNA from 1 species
GCGCGCUUGGUGGAAUGGUAGACACAGGGGACUUAAAAUCCCCAUCCUUCGGGAGUGUGGGUUCGAGUCCCACAGCGCGUACCA